GCCCUUAUGGCUGUCGUCAGCUUCGUGUCGUGAGAUGUUUGGUUAAGUCCAGCAACGAGCGCAACCCUUAUCUUUAGUUGCCAGCGCGUAAUGGCGGGAACUCGUAGAGAGACUGCCCGGGUUAACCGAGAGGAAGGCGGGGAUGACGUCAAGUCCUCAUGGCCCUUAUAUCCAGGGCUACACACGUGCUACAAUGGUAAAUACAGAGGGCAGCGAGCCGGUGACGGCGAGCGAAUCCCUAAAGUUUAUCUCAGUCCGGAUUGGAGUCUGCAACUCGACUCCAUGAAGUUCGAAUCGCUAGUAAUCGCGGAUCAGCAUGCCGCGGUGAAUAUGUUCCCGGGCGUUGUACACACCGCCCGUCACACCAUGAGAGCAGAGUUAUACCCGACGUC
rnacentral:rRNA from 1 species